UCCCUGGUGGUCCAGUGGCUAAGACUCCAUGCUUCCAAUGCAGGGGGGCCCUGGGUUCGAUCCCUGGUCAGGGAA
rnacentral:tRNA from 1 species